rnacentral:rRNA from 1 species
AGUGAACGCUGGCGGCGUGCUUAACACAUGCAAGUCGAACGAGAACGGAAUAUAGCUUGCUAUAUUUGUCAGCUAAGUGGCGCACGGGUGAGUAAUGUAUAGUUAACCUGCCCUUAAGAAAGGAAUAACAGUUGGAAACGACUGCUAAUGCCCUAUAUGCCUUUAAUACAUAAGUAUGCAAGGGAAACGCUUUAGUGCUUAAGGAUGGGUCUGUAUGGUAUCAGCUUGUUGGUGAGGUAAUGGCUCACCAAGGCUAUGACGCCUAACUGGUUUGAGAGGAUGAUCAGUCACACUGGAACUGAGACACGGUCCAGACUCCUACGGGAGGCAGCAGUGGGAAUAUUGCACAAUGGACGAAAGUCUGAUGCAGCAACGCCGCGUGGAGGAUGACACAUUUCGGUGCGUAAACUCCUUUUAUAUAGGAAGAUAAUGACGGUACUAUAUGAAUAAGCACCGGCUAACUCCGUGCCAGCAGCCGCGGUAA